rnacentral:rRNA from 1 species
UACGAAAGGGGCUAGCGUUGCUCGGAAUCACUGGGCGUAAAGCGCACGUAGGCGGAUCUUUAAGUCAGGGGUGAAAUCCUGGAGCUCAACUCCAGAACUGCCUUUGAUACUGGGGAUCUCGAGUCCGGAAGAGGUGAGUGGAACUCCGAGUGUAGAGGUGAAAUUCGUAGAUAUUCGGAAGAACACCAGUGGCGAAGGCGGCUCACUGGUCCGGUACUGACGCUGAGGUGCGAAAGCGUGGGGAGCAAACAGG